AAAAACCAACAAAACAAACAAAAACAAAGGAAGGCCCAGGCUAUGUGGCAGGGUGGACCCAAGACUGUUACUUGCUGUAUGUGGACACCUGAAGGCCCCCGGAACCGGAUGUCCUCAUCAUAGGAACUAGAUGUUCUGAUCUUACACAAUUGUUUCAGCCCCCUCCCCACACAGGCCGACUGCCCUCAGUGUCUGGCUCCUUAAGCCUGCUUCCAUUGUAGCUAUUAGCGAGGGUUUUGCCUCUCAUUGCCUGCCAGCGUAUUAUGAGCAUCUCAUUAACUCAAGGCUCCAGUACCCUUUAGGGACCAGACCUUCACAGACGUAAUGGCCUUCUGCCUGGGGUUUGAGUUUGCUGUUACUCUUUCUACCUCUGCUGAGGAAUGUCAGCCCCUGGAUUUCUAAUAAGUUCACAAAUUGCUCUAUGAAAUUGAGGUGAGAAAAAUGUCACAUUCUUUUUUUUUUUUAAUUUUUAAAAAUCAAAUCUGGCUCUGAGCCCCCGCUUACCAUUCUCAGCAGAAGUCCGACUCCAGUCAUUGUGAAUUCCUCACGGGCCGCGGAUGGGGGUUUUGGGGAGAGGCCUCCCCUUCAUCGGGUUGCACCAACACCCUGCUGCUGAAGCAGGUCAGGAGAGCGGGGUGAGCACUACAUCAUCAGGGCAUCCUGAUCACUCUGUCCCCGUGCUCCUUCUGCGACACAGCGAAGGCUCUAAACACUGUCUGGUGCUGUCCUCAGGCCCUGUGCUCCACACGCAGAGUCCUUUCCAGUGUGACCAGGCUUUGUUCCGGGGACCUCCAAGCCUCAGUGUCCAUCCACCACAGGCAUCCCUCACAGCUGCCCGACACGAGGGCCUGCCUGCGUGGGCACUGUGAGCUAGAUGCCGUGGAGCUCCUGUGCACGCUACAGCCCUUGUCUCUUCCCAGCUUUGGGGGAUCCAACACCAGGUUGGGCAGUUCUCUCCUCUUUCCUCCCAACGCCAAAGCCUCUUUUCCUUUCUGCCACUGGGAGAGCAAAGCCUCCUUCCCUGGAUCUAUACCUUUCAAAACAAUAGGCUGCUGGAGGGAGUAUCUGAGUGAAGAUAAGUUUUCUCUCUCCCCUCCCCUCUCUUAUUCUCCCCCUUUUUUUUUCUUCUGCCCUGAAACAAGAAGUUUGUUAACCAGACCUCUGAGGAUAAAAGAGAGCCUGGACUCAAGAGCAAUCCCCAAGUAACCCUACAGGGUGGCAGUGGGAAUCUUUUAUCCUAAUUUGGGAUGGGGGGUUGGCAUCAAUUACUUUCACAAUAACUUACCCUGUUUGGAUUCAGAGAACUGGAUAUAACUUGAGAGAGCUUCCAUCCCAACCAUCUCAUUUUUCAAAGGAGCCAGAGGAGCAAAGGGAGCAGGCCCAAGAGAAGAGAGUGGGGAUGCCUAGUUCAUGUCUGAGCCAGGACCAGCAUCCAGGUCUCGACUACCAUUCCCAGGGUCCUGCAUUUGGGAGCCCCCAUGUGAAUCACGCUGUUAGACUGCCAAGUAGAGGGAUAGAAGGGAAGGUCCUGCCUUAAGAGACAUGACUGUUGCAUGGAAAGAACAGGGCAACACACAUGAAUCCACUAUGGAGUAUCGUAAGCCAGGGUACCACUGAAAUCUCACUGAGUGGUUUCUGAGGAACUCAGAAAAAUGAAUAAUGAUUGUAGACUAUCGUUAGUCAAAUACAACUUAAUUGGGAAAAUGGAACUGGACCAUGGUCUUGAGAAACAAGUGGAGCUACAGAAUCAAUGUGAGGGCUGAGAUGAAGGUAUGCAUUUUGUCAACCUCCACAGGCAGUCAGCAGAUACAUGGGAUCUUUGAACCCUCUAGAAUUACAUGCAUACAGCAUGGGUGAUUGGAGGUGAUGGUGUAUAAGUGCAUUAUAUGAAAUCAGGUCUGAGGUUUUCAUUAGGUUCUCAAUAUAUCUUGCUCUUCCUCUUCCAGGAGUAUAGUAGGAUUGCAUUUCUGAGCCUGUAUUGGUCCAUUUUCACACUGCUGAUAAAGACAUACCCAAGACUGAGUAGUUUAUAAGGAAAAAGAGGUUUAAUGGACUCACAGUUCCACGUGGCUGGGGAGGCCUCACAAUCAUGGUGGAAGGCAGAAGGCAUGUCUUAGAUGGCAGCAGAGCUCAGUGCCCCCUCUGUCACAAUGACCAGCAAUGUUCCAGAUAGUGACCACUCACUCAGCUAGGGUUCCAGAGGGAGGAAGAUGCAGACCAGAGCCCCAGCUGACCUGCAGUGGACACAUGAGGAGUGCUGGGAGAGUCUCCAGAGCACAUUACAUAAUAUUACCAAGACUUUUCCUGGGUCUGGGCUGUGCCUGUUGCUGCCUCUGGGGUAAGUCAGACUAAUACAGGAAAACUUAUUUCUCUUUCUUUUUAAUUUAUUUUUCUUUAAUUUCCUGCCUCAACCAUCACAACAAGCAACCCUGGAUCCCCCUAGUUUAUUUGUGUCUUUUGCUUUAUCCACCUUUUUCCUUUAUUUGAACUCCUAUAGUAUUAGUGAGCUCAAAUACAUAGGUCUUAAUUCAGUGUCUCUGAGUAUUCAUAGGAAAGCCUCUAUGUAAAUCCAACAAACAGAAUAAAACUAUAAUAGUUAACUAUGUAUAAUAUUAUAAUAUUAUAGAUAGAUAUAAAUCUGCUAUCCAUAAUAAUUAGCUGUUAUCGAAGCUUAAAACCCCCUACAAGAUGCCACACAUCCCUGCUCCAAAAUCCUGAUGUCUAAUUAUCUCACUGGACCAGUCCCUUUUUCCUUAGGAACUUUCUAUUUCAGUAUCAUUUAUUACCCAUCCUCAGCAGUAAGUGUUUACCUUCUAACAAUAAAGGCCCAAUCACCAAAACAUGAAAAAGAUUCAGGAAAAGAAUAUAUUUUUCUACCCUCCUCCCCAACAGCUUAGAGUUCCUUGUAUUUCUCUGAUAUCCCAAUGGAUGUAAAUGCUAAUGGUUUUGAAUGAGAUUUGAAGUUGCAAUCUUAAAAUGAGGAAACAUAACACUUAAAUGCUGUUAGCUCGCUUUAAGAGACUAAUAAAGCACAAGGUACUAGCCUCUUGGCAGUUAAAGAGCAAUUCAUCAUCUAUGAUAACAGCAAACAUUAAAGUGUUUUCAUAGGGGAUAUAGAAAUUCUUGCAUCUUGCAGUUGUAUUAACCGUCAUCGUUUUCUUGUAUUUUCAUUUCCAUAUUUCCUGGAUGCCCCUGAGGUGCUUACACACUGUUCCAGACCCUACAGAGUUCAGAAGGGAAGUAAGAGUAGUUACACCAUUCGCCCCACAUCCCACCCUCCAUCGAGGACUGAUCUAGGGCAAUUUGACAUUCCUGCUGUCCAAAUUCCUGCAGUAAACAUCAGUAGCCUUCUGCCAUAAGCAGAGAUGGAAGCAAUGUGGCUCCUCCUCACAACUUGGCUAGCAGGUAGUAUGCUACAAAAUAAGCAGUCCACAGACAACAUUCAUUAGCAAGCGAGCACAAACAUCGUCUUCCAGCCUGCUCAGGAAGCACUCUCUGUCCCUAUUCUCUGUCCAGCACCUUAUUGGAAAGUUUCCUCUGAGGCAAGCACAACGAUGUUCUGUCAGCAGGAUCAGACCCACCUUCUAGUUUUAUCUAGAGACAGAGUUCUGCAUGCGUUCUGGGUGCUUGAGGACCCAGAGUGCUGUUUCAUAGCCGUCAGGUACUAGGUUUACUUAUUUUUUUAAUUCAUUCACAAAAAGUUGCUAAAGCCCAUAAAGUCUUACCAGCCCACCACGUCUUGAACAAUUUUAGCACUCAUUUCUUACCCCUUUUAUGCUGAUUAACCAACCCUCCAGUACUAUUCCUGUUUAGAUGGCAGUCCUUGAAAACUUUGCCACAGCCACUUCUGGGAAGUGUGUUCUGGAAGGAGGCGCCUGAGUCUGGUCUUUAAGGAUGUCAUUUCUCAGGGAGCUGCCCAGUUUGGGCUAUCCUGUCCCUCCUUAAUAAAUGCCGUGCCCUUCAGAUGCAGUGUCAGUUCCUCUGGUCCUCCACAAUAGGACAUCUACUAACCAUGACUUUCCUAGUUAUGGGCAUGAGUUUGCACUGAGCCAUCCACAUGUCCUUGGAAACUUCAAUGCAAAUUUUCAAGGCAGGACCCAGGGUGCAGUCCUAGCCUGCCUCAGAGCACAAGGGAUGCUAAACACAUUCACCAGAAAUACCCUCUUGCCCGCAAAACCUAACCCCUGAUGCUAGUCCAAACAGGCUCCCUCUCCAAGGAUACAGAGCCUUGGACUCUGAUCACGCCAAGAUCUAGAGUCCAUCCAGCUUAUGCUGUUAAUAGCUGGGGCCAUGCUACCAGACCAUAGCUUAUUAACAAUGUAUAGCUGCAGCCCCUGACUUAGUUCAGCUAUAAACAUUCCUCACCUGCAUGAUUAGCUCCUUUCUUACUGAUUAGAAAGCGUCAUCCUGCCACAAAGCCUACCCUUUCUGAAUGAAUGGCUCUUCUACAGGCAGCCAAGUUCUCUAAAACACAUCUCAAACCCAAAUAAAAAAGAAUCUACAACAGAAACAAAAUUCCACUAUUUUCUUUAUGGAAUGAGAAAAAAAAGAGCUUCAGAAGGUUUUUAAAAGUUCAGCUCCAUGCUUACUGAAAGGACUAAAAGUAGUUGUGACUACAACUGGGGACUUGGAGAGAGAAGGUUGGAGAAUAAUUCAGUGGCCAGUAGGAGAUAUUAAUAAGUAUAUAUUUUUUUAUCUUGACGGAUCUGGUGUAACCACUAAGGAGUUUUAAGCAAGUAAGUAGUAUUGGGUUUUGACUUUACAGAUAUCACCCUGGAAGAUGGAUAAUGGAUUGGAAGGCAGAUGGCAGGAAGACUAGUCAGUGGUCAAGGAGAAUGACAGUAGUGGCUUCAACUAGGGUGGUAGUAAUACAGAUGGAGGGAGGUGGACAGAUUCAGGAAAUACUUAAAAACACAAUGGCCAGGUGCAGUGUCUCAUGCCCAUAAUCCCAUUCCUUUGGGAGGCUAAGACAGGAUUGCUUGAGCCCAGCAGUUCUAGACCAGCCCAGGCAACGUAGCAAG